rnacentral:rRNA from 1 species
CCUACGGGAGGCAGCAGUAGGGAAUAUUGGUCAAUGGGCGCGACCCUGAAGCAGCCAAGCCGCGUGGGGGAUGACGGUUCUCUGAUUUUUAACCCCCUUUUUUCGAGGAGCUAAUGACGCUAUCUAACGCAUAAGCACCGUCUAACUCCGGGCCACAAGCCGCGGUAAUACGGCGGGUGCAGGCGUUACUCGGAAUCACUGGGCGUAAAGGGCGCGUAGGCGGGAUAGCAAGUCAGAGGUGAAAUUCUAUGGCUUAACCAUAGAACUGCAUUUGAAACUGGUAUUCUAGAGUAUGGGAGAGGUAGGCGGAAUUCGUGGUGUAGGGGUAAAAUGCGUAGAGAUCAAGAGGAACACUGAUUGCGAAGGCGACCUGCUAGCACACAACUGACGCUGAUGCGCGAAAGCGUGGGUAGCAAACAGGAUUAGAUACCCGGGUAGUC